AUGGCAAGCCCUUGGGCUGUGUCUCCUUCGAGCAGAUUGGAGCUGUUUGCAGUUCCAAAGACAGCAGAAAACCUCCGUGCUCUGAGCACUGGAAAGAAGGGAUUUGGUUAUAAGGGUUCCUGCUUUCAUAGAAUUAUUCCAGGGUUUGUGUGUCAGAGUGGUGACUUCACACGCCAUACAGCAUUGGUGGCAAGUCCAUCUGCAGGGAGAAAUUUGAUGACAAGAACUUCAUCCUGAAGCAUACAGGUCCUGGCAUCUUGUCCAUGGCAAAUGCUGAACCCAGCAUGAACGUUUCCCAGUUUAUCUGCACUGCCAAGACGGCCAAGGCUGAGUGGUUGGAUGGCAAAUGCGUGGUCUUUGGCAAGGUGAAAGAUGGCAUGAAUACUGUGAAGGUCAUGGCGCACUUUGGGUCCAGGAAUGGCAAGAGCAGCAAUUUGCAUGAAGAUCAUCAUUGCUAACUGUGGAUAACUGUAAUAAAUUUGACUGGUGUUUCUUUAAAAAAAAAAA